rnacentral:rRNA from 1 species
CGCAUCUGUGCAUGCAGCAUAUCAAUAAGCGGAGGAAAAGAAACUAACAAGGAUUCCCCUAGUAACGGCGAGUGAAGCGGGAAGAGCUCAAAUUUGAAAUCUUGAAGGGUUUCCCUUUACGAAUUGUAGUUUAAAGAAGUGUUUUCUGUUGAGGUUUUGGUAAAAGUUCUUUGGAAUAGGACAUCAUAGAGGGUGAAAAUCCCGUAUUUGACCUUUACUUUCAACUUUGUGAUACACUUUCAAAGAGUCGGAUUGUUUGGGAAUGCAGUCCAAAAUGGGUGGUAAAUUUCAUCUAAAGCUAAAUAUUGGCGAGAGACCGAUAGCGAACAAGUACCGUGAGGGAAAGAUGAAAAGAACUUUGAAAAGAGAGUUAAACAGUACGUGAAAUUGUCAAAAGGGAAGCGUUUGACACCAGUGUUGUUUUUCUGAAAAUCAAUUAAAGAACUGUUUAUGCUAAGCUGUUCUAGACUUUAUCAGCUAUCUGUUUAGUUUUGAGCUUUUCUUUAAUGCACUUUUCAGUUAACAAGUCAACAUCAAUUUCUUUUGCUGUAAAAAAGCUUGAGGAAGGUGGCUUGAGAUUCGUCUUAAGUGUUUAUAGCCUCUUGCCUAUGCAGUCGGAGAGAUUGAGGUCUGCAGCGUAGAUCCUUCGGGGCUAAAUGCAUUUGUGCUAAGUUAUAGCAUUUUAUAGACAACUUGUUGACUAUGAUUUGUCUUGUAGCUUACUCGCUUAUGUUAUUUUACCUACGCUUAGGAUGUUGAAUCUGUGCGAGACUA